CCUACGGGGGGCAGCAGUGGGGAAUAUUGGGCAAUGGACGCAAGUCUGACCCAGCAACGCCGCGUGAAGGAAGAAGGCUUUCGGGUUGUAAACUUCUUUUAUCAGGGACGAAGCAAGUGACGGUACCUGAUGAAUAAGCCACGGCUAACUACGCGCCAGCACCCGCGUUAAUACGUAGGUGGCAAGCGUUAUCCGGAUUUACUGGGUGUAAGGGGCGUGUAGGCGGGAGUGCAAGUCAGAUGUUAAAACUAUGGGCUCAACCCAUAGCCUGCAUUUGAAACUGUACUUAUUGAGUGCUGGGGAGGCAAUCGGAAUUCCGGGUGUAGCGGUGCAAUGCGUAGAUAUAAGGAGGAACACCAGUGGCGAAGGCGGAUUGCUGGACAGUAACUGACGCUGAGGCGCGAAAGCGUGGGGAGCAAACAGGAUUAGAUACCCGUGUAGUC
rnacentral:rRNA from 1 species